ensembl:lncRNA
AAUGUAUACAGUUUAUUACUCACAAUAGUUAUACAGUACAAAAUACAAUGUUUUCCUAACCCUUUUCAAUGAUUUUUAUAAAAAGUUUAUUUUGGUGCAGAUUUUAGAACUUUUGUUUUUUAUUGUUUUAAAUGUUUAAAUGAAUUGCAUCUCUAAACAUCUAACAUCAGUAUAGAUUUUAAAAGUUCAGCUCUUGUCACAGGGUGAACAGUUUUUAUUCCAGUAACUAUGAUCGAAUCGAAUAGAAUUAGUUUUAUCGCAGAUCCAGUCUGAAGGCAGUGUUGGCAGAGGCGCAUUGUCUGCUGAUUGGUCAGAUUUCUUGCGCAUGCGCAGAGCGUUCGAGAAACAUGGCGUCCUCCAGUGAGCGCUCCGAGAAAAGCGAAAGUUUCCAGAGAAACGAACGCGGCGAUGCGCUUGUUUCAGACAGUCUUUCACACGACAGCUGCAGCGAGACUGUGCAAGACGAAGACUCGAGCGAAUAUGACAAGAAAGUGGGCGUAUCGACACAAACCGGGACCUAACUGUUACUGGCUCACGCGCGUGGCGCUGCUGCGAGCCAUCGCUUUCAUCUACUGUGAGUCCGACAGGUGGCAGCGCUACAGGAUGCUGUUGCUAGGAGACCAGACACACUUAGUUACAUCAGUUAGUUACAGUUACUAGCCUGUGCACUAGAAACCUAAAAGUUUACAUUAGUGCAACGCCUGUGUAUAAUAUAAUACCUCACCUUUUUCUUGCCAAAGUGUGAAAUCACUGCUGUCUAGUUGUGGCUUUCUGCUCAUUGGAGAGAAAGGGCUCAUGCCAUGAAGGACUACUUGAGGAGCAUUAAGCGUUAUGUGGGUGGCAAGAUUGGCAUUGCGGCCCUGGCGUACACUCCUUCGGUCCUCUGGUUUAUGGACUGGAAUGACAUGGAUGCCAACCUGGAUGGCACUGCUCUGGUGGGAAUGGCUCUGGCAGGGUUUGUUUUAAUUAUGGGGAAGUGCCAGUAUGAUCAUUAUGGGAGUGCUUUGGAUCCUGUAUCACUCUGAGCGUCAGACAGCUUUGGUGCUCUUUUGUGUUUGUGUGAGUGCAGGUUGGGAAAGCCAGCUUCUAGAAACCGGUUUCCUGGGGAUCUUCCUGUGUCCGCUGUGGAGUUUGCUUACAUGCACGUUCAUGCCUUUCCCUGCUCGCCUCAUGUGCAUGUGCAAGUACAUGUGCACGGCUAGUGCAUGCAUUAAAUGCCGUC